AUAACAGCUGGAAACGGCUGCUAAUACCGCAUAAGCGCACAGAGCUGCAUGGCUCGGUGUGAAAAACUCCGGUGGUAUGGGAUGGGCCCGCGUCUGAUUAGGCAGUUGGCGGGGUAACGGCCCACCAAACCGACGAUCAGUAGCCGGCCUGAGAGGGCGACCGGCCACAUUGGGACUGAGACACGGCCCAAACUCCUACGGGAGGCAGCAGUGGGGAAUAUUGCACAAUGGGGGAAACCCUGAUGCAGCGACGCCGCGUGAGCGAAGAAGUAUUUCGGUAUGUAAAGCUCUAUCAGCAGGGAAGAUAAUGACGGUACCUGACUAAGAAGCCCCGGCUAACUACGUGCCAGCAGCCGCGGUAAUACGUAGGGGGCAAGCGUUAUCCGGAUUUACUGGGUGUAAAGGGAGCGUAGACGGCAAGGCAAGUCUGAUGUGAAAACCCAGGGCUUAACCCUGGGACUGCAUUGGAAACUGUCUGGCUCGAGUGCCGGAGAGGUAAGCGGAAUUCCUAGUGUAGCGGUGAAAUGCGUAGAUAUUAGGAAGAACACCAGUGGCGAAGGCGGCUUACUGGACGGUAACUGACGUUGAGGCUCGAAAGCGUGGGGAGCAAACAGGAUUAGACACCCUGGUAGUCCACGCCGU
rnacentral:rRNA from 1 species